rnacentral:rRNA from 1 species
AGUCGAGGGGUAGAAGGAGCUUGCUCCUUUGAGACCGGCGCACGGGUGCGUAACGCGUAUGCAAUCUACCUUUUACAGAGGGAUAGCCCAGAGAAAUUUGGAUUAAUACCUCAUAGUAUAUAUCAUUCGCAUGUUUGGUAUAUUAAAGUUCCAACGGUAAAAGAUGAGCAUGCGUCCCAUUAGUUAGUUGGUAAGGUAACGGCUUACCAAGACGAUGAUGGGUAGGGGUCCUGAGAGGGAGAUCCCCCACACUGGUACUGAGACACGGACCAGACUCCUACGGGAGGCAGCAGUGAGGAAUAUUGGUCAAUGGACGCAAGUCUGAACCAGCCAUGCCGCGUGCAGGAAGACGGUCCUAUGGAUUGUAAACUGCUUUUGUACGGGAAGAAACACUCCUACGUGUAGGAGCCUGACGGUACCGUAAGAAUAAGGAUCGGCUAACUCCGUGCCAGCAGCCGCGGUAAUACGGAGGAUCCAAGCGUUAUCCGGAAUCAUUGGGUUUAAAGGGUCCGUAGGCGGUUUAAUAAGUCAGUGGUGAAAUCUGGUCGCUCAACGAUCAAACUGCCAUUGAUACUGUUAGACUUGAAUUACUGUGAAGUAACUAGAAUAUGUAGUGUAGCGGUGAAAUGCUUAGAUAUUACAUGGAAUACCAAUUGCGAAGGCAGGUUACUAACAGUUGAUUGACGCUGAUGGACGAAAGCGUGGGGAGCGAACAGGAUUAGAUACCCUGGUAGUCCACGCCGUAAACG